rnacentral:rRNA from 1 species
GCGUAUAUUAAAGUUGCUGCAGUUAAAAAGCUCGUAGUUGAAUUUCGGGACCAUCAAGUCGGUCGUGCCUCGGUACGUACUGGUAUUGUUGGUUUCUCCCUUCUGACGAACCAUGAUGUCAUUUAUUUGGUGUUGUGGGGAAUCAGGACUGUUACUUUGAAAAAAUUAGAGUGUUUAAAGCAGGCUCACGCUUGAAUACAUUAGCAUGGAAUAAUGAAAUAGGACGUUUGAUUCUAUUUUGUUGGUUUCUAGGAUCGACGUAAUGAUUAAUAGGGAUAGUUGGGGGCAUUAGUAUUCAAUUGUCAGAGGUGAAAUUCUUGGAUUUAUUGAAGACUAACUACUGCGAAAGCAUUUGCCAAGGAUGUUUUCAUUAAUCAAGAACGAAAGUUAGGGGAUCGAAGACGAUCAGAUACCGUCGUAGUCUUAACCAUAAA